rnacentral:rRNA from 1 species
CAGUCGCCACGGUAACACCAGCACCUCGAGUGGUCAGGAGGUUUAUUGGGCCUAAAGCAUCCGUAGCCGGUUGCAUAAGUUUUCGGUUAAAUCUAUGCGCUUAACGUAUAGGCCGCCGAAAAUACUGUGCAGCUAGGGAGUGGGAGAGGUACACGGUACUCGAUAGGAAGGGGUAAAAUCCUUUGAUCUAUUGAUGACCACCUGUGGCGAAGGCGGUGUACCAGAACACGUUCGACGGUGAGGGAUGAAAGCUGGGGGAGCAAACCGGAUUAGAUACCCCAGUAGUCCCUGUCUCUUAUAC